CCGCUCAGCACAUCAAGAUUUGCCCUCUAAGUCUCGGCAAUUUCUUGAAUAUCACCAAUAAUCAACACAGGUUUCAAAUAGCAACAUGGCAUGACAAAAUAAUACAUACUUCUCUUUAAGUCCGCUCCUUUUUUUAAAUCUUUGCCUAGACCUUCAGGAAAUGUCAAACCAAACUAACUACCCAGCAGUUCAACACGCAACCCACGCAAAAUAAAGGCUACCCACGAGGAACCCCGUUACAAGUAUCAGUCGUGCAACUGCUACUCUGUGGCACGGCUGCCCUGAACCGAUCACCCCUAGAGAUGAAGCCCGAGGGAGACACCACUCAGCCGGCAAAUAUUCCAAAAACACGUUUUGCUCACAGAUCUUACAGCAAGUUUUCCCUCGGCAAACAAAAGAUUAAACAGCAGCAACAAGCAGAAAUAAUACUCACAAGUCUGUGACUCACAAGAGGGCUGUUGCAAGAAGGAUUUCUGGAAACGCUUGACCAUCCAUAGAAGUGGCUUGGAGCCACAAAAGCCCUGUCUCUUCAAACACGUUUUGCAUUCUUCACACUACAGCACUAAAGAAAGAUCAGAAUCCCUCAGCAUAGUACAAUUCUGCAAUACAGCGACCGGGUUGGUCGUGCUGCUAAGACACCUUGUCCAAAGAUCUGCAGCUCUUGCUCUUUGCUGAAGACAAAAGGCCGAUGAGUCGGUUCCAGCAGAGGCAAACCAAAUCUAAGCACUGACAGGGCUGCAGAGCAAAAUGGCCCCGCAAUGGGGCCUCGUGGCCCCGGGGGCCGCCAUGCCGGCCACCGCAGCGGCCGUUGGGGACGCCACGAGCCUCUGUGAUGGCAGUUGGAGCACAGCUGUGCCAGCUGCGCCAUCGCUCCGAGAGAAGAGGCCGCAGACGACAGCGCCGGAUCGACGCGAAGAAGAGAGAGGAGGCUCAGGGACCCCCUGGGAUGGCUCCGCCGCCCAAACGGCGGCUGCCUGGCGGGAGCAGCAGCACCGCCCACAGGCAGGAGGAGCCCAUGGAGAUUGACCCACCCCGGGAAGAGGCGGAGCCCAUGGAGGUGGAUCCGCCUCGGCAGGAGGAGGAGGCGAUGGAGGUGGAUCCGCCUCAGGCAGGGCUGCUGGGGCCCAGCACCAGCAUGGCCGGACCGCCUCCGGCGCCGCAGUGCCCUAAGCGCCGCAGGACGGCCGGGGGCUCUCCCAGAGCCCCCAAACAGGCGCCUGGCCGCAAGCGGCGCCGGCCCCGCAGCCGCCACUAGCCACCUCCGGGGGAUGGGCCGGACCAGCAGCCGCUCUGGAGCCACAGGUGAGCCCGGCUUCCCAGCCCGCACCCCCGGCCCUCAUGCCGGGGCAUCUCCUCUGCCCUGGGGCCUGGGGAAGAGGCGAGGAGGGUCGCUGCCAUCUUCUGCUCGGCAGCCCCAGAGCACCGGGAGGAGUCCUCAGGAGCCACCACACAGCGGGGGACAGCGCCACAGACGCCAGGACACCCGAGGACAGCGCUGGAGCUUGCCUUCAAGGCAAAAGAAGCCCGCUGGAGACCGCCAGAGACCGUCGGGGACAGAAGGACACCGUGGGAUCUGCACCUUGCCUUAUGAAAGGAGAAGUGUGGAGACUUGGAGACAAAACCUGACGAGGCUCGGUCAGGAAUUCUUGACAGGACUACCGGAAGGAGUGUUUGAAGGUCAGAGGCAUUUGGGCACUCUCGGCAGUCCGGGAGAUGGCUCCGGCUCAAGGUAGGACAGGGUAGGAUAGGCUAGGGCUUGGGCAGGUCCUGGGGGGCGUGAGCAGCCUGUGCAUGGGACGAGGAGCCAGGUCUGGCUCACAUGCUCAGGGAACAGCCGAUCGCCAGCACUGGGGUCAGGAAGGAAUUUUUUCCCCCGGGGCAGAUUGGCACUGGUCCCCGGGGGUUUUUUGCCUUCCUCUGCAGCGCUGAGCACGACCACUUUGCAGAGCUCCUCUGGGCCCUUUUGGCUCGGUUCCUGCCUGCUGCUCAAGCACCAGGAAGAUGGCCUCUCGUGCCCCGCAGCUGGGGGGAGGAAGGCUUUUUUGCCUUCCUCUGCAGCGCUGAGCACGGCCCCUUGCCACGGCUUCUUUGGGCCAUUUGGGCUGGGCGCCUGCUGCUCCACGAGGUGGCCCUAAACUUAGCUAGAACAGCCUAUCCAAAGCAGCAUAGACCUACUCACAGAAACCAACCGUAAAGAAGUGCAAGGAACUAACCAGCCUUCAAGAAGCUAAAAUAAACUGAAACUAAACACUUGUA